rnacentral:miRNA from 1 species
CACCAGGGCAGAGCAGGGCUGA